rnacentral:rRNA from 1 species
GAAUGGCGUAAUGAUGGCCAGGCUGUCUCCACCCGAGACUCAGUGAAAUUGAACUCGCUGUGAAGAUGCAGUGUACCCGCGGCAAGACGGAAAGACCCCGUGAACCUUUACUAUAGCUUGACACUGAACAUUGAGCCUUGAUGUGUAGGAUAGGUGGGAGACUAUGAAGUGUGGACGCCAGUCUGCAUGGAGUCAACCUUGAAAUACCACCCUUUAACGUUU